rnacentral:rRNA from 1 species
UACGUAGGGUGCAAGCGUUGUCCGGAAUUAUUGGGCGUAAAGAGCUCGUAGGCGGUCUGUCGCGUCGGCUGUGAAAACCCGGAGCUCAACUCCGGGCCUGCAGUCGAUACGGGCAAACUGGAGUGUUGCAGGGGAGACUGGAAUUCCUGGUGUAGCGGUGGAAUGCGUAGAGAUCGGGAGGAACACCAGUGGCGAAAGCGGCUCUCUGGUCCAAAACUGACGCUGAGGGGCGAAAGCGUGGGGAGCGAACGGG